CCUUCGCUGAUGAGUAACCAUUUGACUUUCGUUCUUCUGAGCUCGCUGAAGCAACGCUUAAUUGAUCUGAGGAGG
rfam:Aptenodytes forsteri contig51717, whole genome shotgun sequence.